UUUGGUUGCUGGUAACCCCUCUCAAAUGAACCUCUCAUCCCUGGUUCAUUUCCCUGAUUCAGCUUAUCCUUCCAGUUCUCAUGAUGAACAAUUGAACUGUUUUUGAAAUUCACAAAGUUUUGCAUGUCCAUUAGAAUAAAUGAAUAACACAGUGAUAAACACCACCUGCAGACUAAAGCUUGUGCCUGUGUGGGAUUUGUAAAAUAGGCUUGAGAGUCUCGAAAGGAGACUGUUCAUGAAUUUGUUCAGCUGGGGUUUUCAAGGGGCUGAACUUGCUGGUCUCUUCUGUUUUAACCUUGGGAGUGAUUCAUUCCUUUUUCAGAAUCUAUGCCUAAACUGCAGAGCAUGAAUACCUCUUGCCCUAAAUGGCUGAAAUAAGAAUCAUGGUCAGAUAGGCUUGCUGCUCACCAGUCCAGGAGCCAAGAGGUGACAUGUUGACGAGCAGGGUCCUGCUUGAUGAUGUCUAUCAUGUGAAGUCCCCUCCUAAAUCUUGUUUGAUUUCAUUUCAUGACACACAGUCUUUAUCAUAAUAUAUCAUAUGUUAAAUGGGCUUGAAAUCUGGUUAAUGUUGUUAGAUCUCAGAGCAGAUAAAAGUAACCUUUACUCAGACACAAAGCUGAGUAUGGUGGAAAAUAUAAUAGUAAGUGUUAGGUAAUUUUCAUCUUCAAGUUUUCCUUUUUUCCCAUUGUCAAAAUCUUUCUACCCUUUACAUCACAUUGUAACUUAGUUGUCACACAAGCUCCAUUAUUUUUCCCUCUUGAGAGGCAAGGUUUCUUUCCUUUGAGAAAAAUUCUCUCUCAGGUGCAUUGAUGUAAAGAAUUUCCCGAUUGAAAUUUGCCAUUUAUUAGCUUUGCUGUUCCUUUGUGAGCUGGUUACAGUAUGAACAUCAUUAUUAAAGUGUGAGAGAGCUUUAAAAACUAAAUAUUCUUAAGUACCCUGAGAGGAAAAAAAUAGGCAAAGAGAAGUGAGAUCAGUAAAGAAUGCAGCAGGACUGGUCCAUGGUGCCAGAAAGAAGUGGAAAAACGAGAUGGAGCAGGCGCGGUGCAAAAAGUCUUCUAGUAAAUUCGCAGUACAGAGCCGUGGAAGCUCACAACUCCAGCUGUGAGGUAGCAGAGUGGGGAGCUAGGCAGGAUAGCCAGCAGUGGGGUCAUCCCUUGAAGGUAACCAGGAAUCUCCGCUCACUCCUAAGUCAUGAGGCAGCCACAGGUUACUCUGUGGAAGCUCUGUGCUUCCUUGACCCGGCCAUGCUGUUGUCCUGGUGGCUGCAGCAGGGCAUGUCUCCUGUCUUAGCCUUGAGCCCAGCACAUGAUUGUUGGUGGUUGCUGACAUGGUCUCUGAUGCUGGAGGGGGUUCUAGGUCCUUCCUGGUGGUGGUAUUGGACUCAGGGCCGUAUGUUCCAUGUUUGUUUUCUUCUCCAUGGCUGAGCUACCCAUCUCUGGUCUGUUGACCCCAAGGAGAGCCUUCCCCACAUUUAAUUUUUAAGAAUGAUGACUUUCCUGUUUGACAAGGGCUUGUGUUGUUAAUUUAAAAACAAACAAAAAAAAUGGCAACAAAAGCUAAAUGGAGUACUUGUUAUAGGCCCAGUACUUGACCAGCAUUUUUUUCUUAAUCCUCCUAACAAUAAAUUAUAUAACACUAGUAUUAUCCAUGCUACUUAGAUGAAUUACUGAUCUUCAAAAGACUUAAUAACCAGACUAUUAACUGGUAGUGGAGCCAGAAUUCAAAUGAUGUUUUUAACCACUGAGCUACACCGUCUCCUCAGGAGAGAUUUAAAGGCUUAGAGUACAACUGUAAAGUAAAAUUUCAAGUAAACCCCUUGAAGAGUGGACUUCUUACUCCCCCUUUGGUGAUACAGUGACUUUGAUUUGUGAAAAUGAGGCAGAAUGGGUAUCUUAGUCCAUUCAGGCUGCUGUAACAAAAUAGCACAGAUUAGGUGGCUUAUAAACAAUGGACAUUUAUUUUUCACAGUGGAGUCUGGAAAUCCAAGAUCACAGCACCAGCAUGGUCAUGUUUGAUGGAGACCCUCUUUCUGGUUCCUAGCUGGUGCCUUCUUGCUGUGACCUCAUAUGGUAAAGGAGGCCAGGGAUCUCUCUGGAGCUGCUUUUAUAAGGCACUAACCCUAUUCAUCAGGGCCCCAUCCUCAUGACCUGAGCACCCCUGAAAGGUCCUACCUACUAAUACUAUUAACUUUGAGAAUUAAGAUUUCAACAUAUAAUGUGGGGAAGGGAAGAUACAAAUAUUCAGACCAGUAAGGGGGGAAAACACUUGAAUACUUAAAUAUUCUGGCUUUUCAUAGGACUGCAUAACCUUCAUGUAAGGCACAUGCUUCAUCUGCCUCUCCAUCUCCUUGUUUCAUUUGUUUGAAAUGUGGAGGAUGGACAGUGUAACCUGAUGUGGUUUCUGGUGAAGCAGUAUCAGCCCACAUCUUGAGAAAUUUUAUUUCAGUUCUUGGUCUUGCAGUUCAAAUCUGAGAAUUUAAUGUACUCUUUGACUUGAAUUCCACGUGUAGUCUCUAACUGAUGUGCUUGACUUCGAAGGGAGCACAUUUAAUUAGGAUAGAUUCCAAUGCUGUUUUUAUCCUGUGGAUUUAUUUCAUUGGAUUAUUUAAUUCCAUUGAGGGUAUUGGCCUGAGAGCAGAGUCUUAAGGAUAAGCCUUUGGAUGCCAAGCCCCAGGAAUCCACACACAGCAAAGGGCACAUUUGGAUUCCAGGGGUAUGAAUUUGAUCCAGAGAGCACAGGAGGAGAGUUGGACAGCCUCAUGUAUCAUACAUGUCCUGGGAUGGCCUUUAUCAGAGCUAAAAAGAUCUUCCUGAAUGACACCUCUGAUCUAUUCAAAUAGGAGUGUUGUCGUUUGGCUCUUUUGUCUUAUUUUUCCAGGGGAGGUGUUUCUUUUCCAGUGAAUUACAAAGAUGGUACCAUUUGCAAGUCAUCAUCAAAUGGGACUUUAGAAGGUACUGCCUUAGGCUCCCUCUGACAUGACUUUCUUCUGUCUCUCUGCCAACUGUGCCUUGUGUGAGAGGAGACAGGCCAGUUACAUUCAGGUGCUUUUCUGCUUACGUUCAGACCCUGAUUUCUCAGAUGUGUUCAUGUGUUCACUUGCAUUUCAUGGAGGAACAGAAGUCUGGCUCUUGGGCAUUACAGCAAGGAAAGAGUCUGCCACUUUGCCUUUGGUUGGAAGGUCUGGAGCUUUGGCGUGGCCGCAGACCAAGUCUAGAGGGCUUUGAAUUAAGCAGUCAAUGAGUCACUUUGCUAAGGGAAAAAAAGACCAUUCAUUCCUUUGUUCGGGGCUUGUUGGCUGAUUAGAAGCCCAGAUAGUACUCAUGAAUAAUUUACAUGGGCACUGACUUUUUUCCAGAGUCAAGCUCUACAGAAUUGGGGAAACAAAGGGCCCUGCAUCCCAUUUACCUGCCUGCCAGCAUUACAGGCACCAUUUUCUAUCCUGUUUUGAAAGCUGUAUUAAAGUUUACUCACAGGAACUUACUUACAGGAACUGAGCCAUCAUUGACAUUUCAGCUCCCAAAGCCAGCCAGCACCCAUUGGAUUUUCUGUUUCUGAGAAAACAUGGAAUGUAUCCAAAAUAGGUUGAGAGAGGAAGAAUUUAUAGAAGAGCUCAGUUUAAGUUUUGAUUCAUCCUUCUGAGGUUAUACUUGAACACACUGCAUUUCAACGCAUAGUUUUCAUCUUACACAUCUAGCUGCUUUGUGCCCUGUGCAGUUCUCAGCAUGUGGGGUGCGUGGUAAUCAGUGUUUGCUCCUCAAGCUCCAAGUGCUUCCUGGGGUCACUUGCUCUCCUGUUGCCCAGAUGUCGGACUGGUCACAGAGGUGACUGCCAGACUUGACAUAUUGUCUCGUACUCAUAUACAUAUGCAACACAUUUGCUUUAAAAGAAAAUCACUUUAGAGUUCUCCUCAAAUUAGAGAACAAUCACUACCUAAUUUGACUUUUUAAAUAAAUUCAGAAUUUGAGAGGAUUAGCAAUCUCCCUGCCAGAUGAGAUUUUUAAGCUUCUAAACACAGCUGUAGCAUCUGCAUGAAUACACCAGUCUCUAAUAUCAUCUGACUCUUGUUUCUCAAAGAUACUGUAAGGGACCAUCAGAUUCCUUGCUGACUUCACGUUCCUGUGUGAUCUAAAGUUAGCUGAGCAUUGCUUUGCUUGGAGAGCCCAUGCUAGAAGCCACCUCUGUGAGCAUUGCUAUCUGCUUCCAGAUCAGCUUGAUGUUGGGUCGGUGGUAGUAGCAUGUGCUUGAGUCAUUGUUCUCUGUUAUCUAGCUCUUUCCCCUCUUGAACUGGGGCAACACCUGUCUGAUUCCCAUCUCCUGGGGCCUUUCUAACUCCAAAGUAUUAGCAGAACUUACAGAGUCCCCAAACGUCUUUUAUUUGAGCCUAGAAUUCUGGACUCGUACCUGUAUUGGAAUUCAGUUCUGUGUUUAUAUUUAUUCUACUCAUUCUAGUGAUAAAGGUGGUCUUUUUAGAUAAAGAUGAAAGUCCAAGUUAGGAGUUCUGUUUUCCCUUUGCCAUACAACACCUCAUUCCUUCUGCCCCAAGAAGUAGGUUUACUCUUUCUUGAUAUGCUUGCUACAAAAACAGUUACAAUUGUCAUUUUUGUCUUCAUAUAGCAGUCCUUGUUUCUUUAGGAUGCACAAGUUGUGAGAUUCUCAAUACGUUAGUAACUUUCACUUCGGAUUUGGCCGUGAGCCCUUACCUAGCAUUGUUCCUGGAACUCCAAACUUUUUAAUCAUAUUCUUGCCUUCUCUCUUCUUAGCUUGUUCUGCCAGUUGGUGGCCUCAUUGCAUGCCUGCUCUUCCAUCACCAGAAAGUGACUUCAAUCCCUAACUCCCAAGAUCUUUUUUCAAAGCCUCUGGGGAUAUUUGACAAGUAUUUAUUGAGCAUCAACUCUCUGCCAAGGAUAUGGAUACAGUGAUGAGCAAAAACAAAAGUGCUGUCUUGUAGGCAGUAUGGUUGAGUGAGGGAGAAAGACAUCAAUUACAUGAUCAUAUUAAUACAAAAUCACAACUGUGACCAGUGCUAUGAAGAAGAGGAAUGCAUUGCACUGAAUGAGAACGUCUCAUAGUGUGUUUCAAUCUGGGUCAAGGAAAGGUGGAAGAUUUUCCUAAGGAAGUGACUCAGGAGCUGAG